rnacentral:lncRNA from 1 species
GCCGUGAUAUAUGUCUCGCUCCCUUUCGCUUACAGAAAGGAUUUCUUCCGACAGACGUGACCCCAGAAGGCUGCCGAGGGAGACUUUAGGACAAGAGGAGUUGUUUUUUUAGGGAAGGGAGAGGAGCCUGUGCAGAGUUGAACUGGGGUGGGGAGGUGCCUUGUAAAGUAUGGUUUCCAGAGAUGGUGAGACCUCGUAGCUAAGCGUUGUUUCCUCUGCACGUAACUUUUCAGCGCGGCCGCAUUUUGAAAAGGCUGAAGGUAGAAAACUCUGGAAUGGAGAGGCUGGCGACUGGAGUAGGAUCCAGGGGCUUUAAAUUUUAACCUGAGUGCGAUCGAAUGCGCGACUCCCAGAAGAGAUAGCCAGGCGUCCGCCCGGCCGCUCAACCCCCGCCAGGACUCGGAAUGCCUUGCUUUUGGUUCUUUUCUACAAGGAUGUCUACGUGGAUAUCCCUGGACACUUGAUACCCCCCCGGGGACCUG